CGGAGGGUGCGAGCGUUGUCCGGAAUCACUGGGCGUAAAGGGCGCGUAGGCGGCGCGGGAAGUCCGUGGUGAAAGCCCGAGGCUCAACUUCGGGUCGGCCAUGGAUACUCCUGGGCUUGAGCACUGUAGAGGCAGGUGGAAUUCCGGGUGUAGCGGUGGAAUGCGUAGAGAUCCGGAAGAACACCGGUGGCGAAGGCGGCCUGCUGGGCAGUAGCUGACGCUGAGGCGCGACAGCGUGGGGAGCAAACAGGAUUAGAUACCCUGGUAGUCCACGCCGUAAACGAUGGGCACUAGGUGCUUGGGGGAGCGACCCCCUGAGUGCCGGCGCUAACGCAUUAAGUGCCCCGCCUGGGGAGUACGGCCGCAAGGCUG
rnacentral:rRNA from 1 species